GUCUGUGCCAUCCAGUCUGGGCUGUACUCCGGCCUUACUAUCUCUCUGCUUUGGUGUAAGCCACAUUGAUCAGAACCAGGUUUCCAAACGCCGGUUCCCGCAUUUUGCCAUUCCUCCAGUUCGCGGUUGACUCUGGAAGAAUCCGGGGGAGGUGUCUCGGGAAGCAGCACCGGGAUAGGAAGGGUGCCAGCCAGAUUUGAAGAACAUGGGCCUCGGGCAGGGCAAAACCCCGGGGGAGACCUUUUAGAACAGAGGCUGUGGACCCAAGACGCACAGUCUGUAUGCGGAGCAGGAGCAGUCCCCCCCCACAACCCCAUCGCCCAAGGAAACACUUCGCAUUCCCUAAGAGUAGAAUCUUUAAUGGGUUCCGCCCCCUACGCCCGCUAAACCGCCCCCUUUGCGGGCAACCUUGGCUUCCUCCACCGCGUCGCGCAAGGCCUGUGCGGGGUCCCCGCGGAGCUGGACCAAUGCCCCGCGCAGGGCAGCGGAGCCGUCUCCCAUACAGAGCUUUCGGCCGCUCACAAAAUAAUGAGGCAGCGUCCCGGCCUCGAGCACUCGGCUCAGCUCAUCCAGUAGCCCAAGGCAACAAGCGCCGGCGUUUUCCGGCCGCGCCAGGUAGAGCGCAGGGAGCCGCUCGCACGCCCAGUAGAGCAAGGUCCGCAGGAGGUAGGGCGCGGCGGCCCGGGUCCCCGCCACCAGCGGGCGCAGCAGCGCCUGGGCCGCCGCGUGGGCUUGAAGCAGCGGCGCUGGGAUGCGCGCUUUGAGCGCCAGCUCCUGGCGGGCGAAGCACAGCUGCCAUCCAGGGGUGCCCUGCUGCCCCGGGUGGCUGCCCGGCACUAGGUAGAAAGAAGCCGACUCAGAGACCAGUGGACCCGCCCACGAGUGGCUCCGAGCCCUGUCGGGCCAGCCUGUCACGGUCACCACCGGGAUCAGGUCGAAGAGCAGGAGGUGGCGUGGGGGCUCUGGAGUGGCCAGGAGGACCGUGGUGACACCCGCGUGGCGAGCUGCGUGAACUAGCCGCGGGGCGCCUGGGACCGGGAUCAGGGACUCAGCGACCUCAGCCAGCUUAAGGAAGAACCAGGCAGCCACUUGGGUAGGGCAUAAUGUGGGCCAUGCCUUCGCAGCCUCCGACGGCUUUGGGGAUGGCUUUUCGUCGUCUUCCAAGGCGUCACUACUCAGUGUUUUCAAUGGUUCAGGAGUUUCAAGAUGGGUGAUGUCAUUGUAAGGCGAUUGGGACCCUGAAAGGUCACUAGAUGAUUUUUCCACAGAUGUGUGCGGCUCAGGCUCAGGGACAUAAUCACGUGCCUGGUCUACGGAGCUUUCCUGGUCCGUGGGAUUCUCUUUGCUAUGGGUUUGGUGAGUCAAAUCACAUUCUUCUGCGACAGGGGGUCCUAGGCAAUCCUGCCAGGUCUCCCGGACGGAAAUCCCACACAUCAGCUCUGGAAGGCGGAGCCACGCAUAACAGGAUUCCAGAUCCAGUAGCAGCUCCGGCCCAGUGCCAUCCAGAGAAAACACAGGCACAAGGAGCGUAAAGCCGGCAUCAUAAUGAGGUCCCCGGGCGUAGGGACCUAAGGGGGCAUGCCCUAAAUCUAGGGAGCCUUCGCGAAUCCCACCGCGAAGCAGCAAGAGUUCUGCCUGGGGUGGGAAACGAGGGUCCUGGCGGUGAACUAGACCUAAAGGAAGAAAAGGGACUGUGAAGGUAUCGUGGUCCAGAGCCGGGGUGGGGAAUGGUGAGGCUGGGGUUUGCAACUUCCCACAGUUGAGAAUUACUUACCGAGCAAAGAGAAAACGAAAUCCUUGGCUCGGAGAAGAUCAGCUCCAGGCUUGGGCCCUUCGCUCCAGCUCUCCUGGACACCCAGCUCCUGAAUCAACUGAGUCAGCUCCUGCAGCUGGGCGCCAGAGCAGAAGUCGACGUCUGUGAGCGGCCGGGCUGGGGCUGGGGGUGGCGGGCCCCACCAGGGGGCACCGCCCCAUACGGUGGAAGCCAUGGAUCUCUAUCGUUUGGGGCUAGCGCAAACAGAUCCGAGUUAGCCCUGGCAGGCCUUUGCUUGGCUCCCCAAAGUUCUCCAGUUUUCCCUUCCUUCCGAGGUGGAGCAAGGGCCGCAGACAGUCCACAAAGUGGGUCUUGCAGAUGAUGCGUUCUGCGUUUAGUCUUCAAAAUGAACAGAUGACUGCUUUCUUCGUUCCUUUUCCUAGAUGCAGGUUGCGGCCCGGUGAAUCGCUUCACCUGACUCAGCAGAAGAGGCUCAUAGGUCCACGGCUUUCCGAUUAAGGGGUAGCAUAAAAGGUUGUGAACAGAAAACACCGUCAAAGAUUCUACAGUGCUCACAGACACCAGAAGAUGAGAUGGCAUUCAGUCCCUGGACCUGGAGUUACAAACUACUACUCAUCCACCAGGAUCCCAAGUAGACUAUGCUGACCUUGAACUCAUUAUGUAGCUGAGGAUGACUUUGAACUCCUGAUCUUCCUCCCUCCACCCACCAAGUGCUGGCUUUAGAGAUGUAAAACACAAUGCUUGGUGAGAA